UAACUCAUAUUCAUGUGAGAAGCCACACUGAGAGCUCUGCAAGUAAGCCAGCAGUGGGGACUGCAUGUUGACUGUAAUAGGAUU